AGGACACGCUGGCGGCGUGCUUAACACAUGCAAGUCGAACGGUAAGGCCCUUCGGGGUACACGAGUGGCGAACGGGUGAGUAACACGUGGGUGAUCUGCCCUGCACUUCGGGAUAAGCCUGGGAAACUGGGUCUAAUACCGGAUAGGACUCCUGGCUUCAUGGUUGGGGGUGUAAAGCUUUUGCGGUGUGGGAUGGGCCCGCGGCCUAUCAGCUUGUUGGUGGGGUAAUGGCCUACCAAGGCGACGACGGGUAGCCGGCCUGAGAGGGUGACCGGCCACACUGGGACUGAGAUACGGCCCAGACUCCUACGGGAGGCAGCAGUGGGGAAUAUUGCACAAUGGGCGCAAGCCUGAUGCAGCGACGCCGCGUGAGGGAUGACGGCCUUCGGGUUGUAAACCUCUUUCAAUAGGGACGAAGCGCAAGUGACGGUACCUAUAGAAGAAGGACCGGCCAACUACGUG
rnacentral:rRNA from 1 species